rnacentral:rRNA from 1 species
UGGGGAAUUUUGGACAAUGGGCGAAAGCCUGAUCCAGCAAUGCCGCGUGUGUGAAGAAGGCCUUCGGGUUGUAAAGCACUUUUGUCCGGAAAGAAAUCCUUGGCUCUAAUACAGUCGGGGGAUGACGGUACCGGAAGAAUAAGCACCGGCUAACUACGUGCCAGCAGCCGCGGUAAUACGUAGGGUGCAAGCGUUAAUCGGAAUUACUGGGCGUAAAGCGUGCGCAGGCGGUUUGCUAAGACCGAUGUGAAAUCCCCGGGCUCAACCUGGGAACUGCAUUGGUGACUGGCAGGCUAGAGUAUGGCAGAGGGGGGUAGAAUUCCACGUGUAGCAGUGAAAUGCGUAGAGAUGUGGAGGAAUACCGAUGGCGAAGGCAGCCCCCUGGGCCAAUACUGACGCUCAUGCACGAAAGCGUGGGGAGCAAACAGGAUUAGAUACCCUGGUAGUCCACGCCCUAAACGAUGUCAACUAGUUGUUGGGGGAUUCAUUUCCUUAGUAACGUAGCUAACGCGUGAAGUUGACCGCCUGGGGAGUACGGUCGCAAGAUUAAACUCAAUG